CGGGAAGUAGCUCAGCCCGGCUAGAGCACCUGUUUUGGGAGCAGGGGGUCGCAGGUUCGAAUCCUGUCUUCCCGA
rnacentral:tRNA from 1 species